rnacentral:rRNA from 1 species
CGGCAGGCCUAACACAUGCAAGUCGAGGGGUAACGAUUCCAAGCAAUUGGAAGGCGACGACCGGCGCACGGGUGAGUAUCGCGUUUGUAACCUUCCUCUGACUGGAGAAUAGCCCGAAGAAAUUCGGAUUAAUAUUCCAUAAUACUAUGAAGUGGCAUCUUUUUAUAGUUAAAGCUCCGGCGGUUAGAGAUGAACAUGCGUGUCAUUAGCUAGUUGGUGAGGUUACGGCUCACCAAGGCAACGAUGACUAGGGGGUCUGAGAGGAUGAUCCCCCACACUGGUACUGAGACACGGACCAGACUCCUACGGGAGGCAGCAGUGAGGAAUAUUGGGCAAUGGGCGAAAGCCUGACCCAGCCAUGCCGCGUGAAGGAUGACUGCCCUAUGGGUUGUAAACUUCUUUUGUAAGGGAAGAAUCCCUUCUACGUGUAGAAGGCUGACUGUACUUUAAGAAUAAGCACCGGCUAACUCCGUGCCAGCAGCCGCGGUAAUACGGAGGGUGCAAGCGUUAUCCGGACUUAUUGGGUUUAAAGGGUGCGUAGGCGGAUUAAUAAGUCAGUGGUGAAAUCCUGCAGCUUAACUGUAGAACUGCCAUUGAUACUGUUGAUCUUGAGUAUAGUUGAGGUAGGCGGAAUGUGUAAUGUAGCGGUGAAAUGCUUAGAUAUUACACAGAACACCGAUUGCGUAGGCAGCUUACUAAGCUAUAACUGACGCUGAUGCACGAAAGCGUGGGGAGCGAACAGGAUUAGAUACCCUGGUAGUCCACGCCGUAAACGAUGAUCACUCGUUGUUAGCAAUACACAGUUAGCGGCUAAGCGAAAGCAUUAAGUAUUCCACCUGGGGAGUACGAUCGCAAGAUUGAAACUCAAAGGAAUUGACGGGGGCCCGCACAAGCGGAGGAACAUGUGGUUUAAUUCGAUGAUACGCGAGGAACCUUACCUGGGCUUAAAUGUAGAGUGCAUAUUGGAAACGAUAUUUCCCUUCGGGGCAAAUUACAAGGUGCUGCAUGGUUGUCGUCAGCUCGUGCCGUGAGGUGUCGGGUUAAGUCCCAUAACGAGCGCAACCCUUAUCCUUAGUUGCCAGCGCGUCAUGCCGGGGACUCUAAGGAGACUGCCAGUGUAAACUGUGAGGAAGGUGGGGAUGACGUCAAAUCAGCACGGCCCUUAUGUCCAGGGCUACACACGUGUUACAAUGGCCGAUACAAUGGGCAGCUACCAGGUGACUGGAUGCUAAUCUCUAAAGUCGGUCUCAGUUCGGAUCGAAGUCUGCAACUCGACUUCGUGAAGUUGGAUUCGCUAGUAAUCGUAUAUCAGCAAUGAUACGGUGAAUACGUUCCCGGGCCUUGUACACACCGCCCGUCAAACCAUGGAAGCUGGGGGUACCUGAAGUUCGUAACCGUAAGGAGCG